AGUUUAUUUGUUAAUUCAAAAAAAAAAUAAAGUUAAAAUAACAUAUGGGAUUAAAUCUGAUUUUGUUGGGGGGUAGUUGGCACUAUAAACCAGUGGCUCCAGCCAGCAUGUAAACCACAAACAAGUAUUAUAUCUGCUCUGAAUCUG